GAUGAACGCUGGCGGCGUGCCUAAUACAUGCAAGUCGAGCGAACGGACGAGAAGCUUGCUUCUCUGAUGUUAGCGGCGGACGGGUGAGUAACACGUGGAUAACCUACCUAUAUGACUGGGAUAACUUCGGGAAACCGGAGCUAAUACUGGAUAAUAUUUUGAACCGCAUGGUUCAAAAGUGAAAGACGGCUUUGCUGUCUCUUAUAGAUGGUUCCGCGCUGCAUUAGUUAGUUGGUAAGGUAACGGCUUACCAAGGCAACGAUGCAUAGCCGACCUGAGAGGGUGAUCGGCCACACUGGAACUGAGACACGGUCCAGACUCCUACGGGAGGCAGCAGUGGGGAAUCUUCCGCAAUGGGCGAAAGCCUGACGGAGCAACGCCGCGUGAGUGAAGAAGGUCUUCGGGUCGUAAAACUCUGUUAUUAGGGAAGAACAUAUGUGUAAGUAACUGUGCACAUCUUGACGGUACCUAAUCAGAAAGCCACGGCUAACUACGUG
rnacentral:rRNA from 1 species